CUGCAGCGCGUCCGCGGCCCUCCGCCCUCGCCCUCCCCCCUCCCCACAAAUCUCGCCUCCUCACCCAACGCCAUCAGCGCUGCCCUCCGCUCCAUCCCUGUAGCGCAGACCUUCGCCACCGUCCCUGCCCUUCCUCACCGCGCAAUCACCGCCCUUCCCGACGUGCCUCGGCCGCCAUCCACGGCAUCACCUUCCUUCCCCACGCGCGCGCCCCCUCCUCUCGAUUGCUCCCAGUGGCUCGGCGGCAAUGGAGGCACCACCUGA
rnacentral:misc_RNA from 1 species